AUUGAACGCUGGCGGCAUGCCUUACACAUGCAAGUCGAACGGUAACGCGGGGCAACCUGGCGACGAGUGGCGAACGGGUGAGUAAUGCAUCGGAACGUGCCCAGUAGUGGGGGAUAGCCCGGCGAAAGCCGGAUUAAUACCGCAUACGACCUAAGGGUGAAAGCGGGGGAUCGCAAGACCUCGCGCUAUUGGAGCGGCCGAUGUCAGAUUAGGUAGUUGGUGAGGUAAAGGCUCACCAAGCCUUCGAUCUGUAGCUGGUCUGAGAGGACGACCAGCCACACUGGGACUGAGACACGGCCCAGACUCCUACGGGAGGCAGCAGUGGGGAAUUUUGGACAAUGGGCGCAAGCCUGAUCCAGCCAUGCCGCGUGCGGGAAGAAGGCCUUCGGGUUGUAAACCGCUUUUGUCAGGGAAGAAACGCUCUGGGCUAAUACCCUGGGGUAAUGACGGUACCUGAAGAAUAAGCACCGGCUAACUACGUGCCAGCAGCCGCCGUAAUAC
rnacentral:rRNA from 1 species